GUAAACACCAUCACCAUCUAUAAGCGUUUGAUUAAUAGCAGCAAAUCAAAAUCCUUAUCGUCUCCCCCCAAGAAAAAAUAAAUAAGCAAACACUAAAAGCCCCUUCAGGGAAUGCAGAGAGAUGAGAGGACCUUCGUUGAGAUUGCCUGAGCUGUGUUUACGUGCCCAGCGGUGCGUCGGCGGCCGUAAUUGCCACCGGAAACACGUCGAAGACGGGUGAUCCUCAACCACCACCACAACACAAAAGAAAACCUGAAAGAAUUAUUUAAUUAGCUAAACUUGGUACAUAUAUACAUAUAAAAGGAAAAAAAGACCGCGUGGAGAUGGCUACAUCAAACAGUAACGGCGGAGGCGAUGACAGGCCGACGUUGCUACAUGGGAAAUACGAGCUGGGGCGUAUGUUAGGCCACGGAACCUUCGCGAAGGUGUACCUGGCAAGAAAUUUGCAGACGGGGAAAAGCAUGGCCAUGAAAGUUGUUGGUAAAGACAAGGUUAUCAAGGUGGGCAUGAUGGAGCAAAUCAAGCGUGAAAUCUCUGUCAUGAAGAUGGUGAAGCACAAGCACAUCGUUGAGCUACACGAAGUCAUGGCAAGUAAGUCCAAGAUUUACUUCGCCAUGGACCUCGUCAAAGGCGGCGAGCUGUUCAACAAGAUUGCCAAAGGAAGAUUACGAGAAGAUGUUGCAAGGGUUUAUUUCCAGCAGCUGAUUUCAGCCGUUGAUUUCUGCCACAGCCGCGGCGUUUAUCACCGCGACUUGAAGCCUGAGAAUCUCUUGCUAGAUGAAGAUGGUAACUUGAAGGUCACGGAUUUUGGGCUGAGCGCUUUCUCUGAGCAUUUGAAGCAAGAUGGUCUGUUGCAUACGACGUGUGGGACUCCAGCUUACGUUGCUCCUGAAGUCAUAAGCAAGAAAGGAUACGACGGUGCCAAGGC
rnacentral:lncRNA from 1 species